GAUGAACGCUGGCGGCGUGCCUAAUACAUGCAAGUCGAGCGAACAGACGAGGAGCUUGCUCCUCUGACGUUAGCGGCGGACGGGUGAGUAACACGUGGAUAACCUACCUAUAAGACGGGGAUAACUACGGGAAACCGGAGCUAAUACCGGAUAAUAUAUUGAACCGCAUGGUUCAAUAGUGAAAGACGGCUUUGCUGUCUCUUAUAGAUGGAUCCGCGCCGCAUUAGCUAGUUGGUAAGGUAACGGCUUACCAAGGCAACGAUGCGUAGCCGACCUGAGAGGGUGAUCGGCCACACUGGAACUGAGACACGGUCCAGACUCCUACGGGAGGCAGCAGUAGGGAAUCUUCCGCAAUGGGCGAAAGCCUGACGGAGCAACGCCGCGUGAGUGAUGAAGGUCUUCGGAUCGUAAAGCUCUGUUAUUAGGGAAGAACAAAUGUGUAAGUAGCUAUGCACGUCUUGACGGUACCUAAUCAGAAAGCCACGGCUAACUACGUG
rnacentral:rRNA from 1 species